UACAGAGGUCCCGAGCGUUGUUCGGAUUUACUGGGCGUAAAGGGCGCGUAGGCGGCCACUGCAAGUCGGUUGUGAAAUCUCCGGGCUUAACCCGGAAAGGUCAAUCGAUACUGCAGGGCCAGAGUGCAGAAGGGGCAACUGGAAUUCUCGGUGUAGCGGUGAAAUGCGUAGAUAUCGAGAGGAACACCUGCGGCGAAGGCGGGUUGCUGGGCUGACACUGACGCUGAAGCGCGAAAGCUAGGGGAGCGAACGGG
rnacentral:rRNA from 1 species